rnacentral:rRNA from 1 species
AACGAACGCUGGCGGCAGGCUUAACACAUGCAAGUCGAGCGAGACCUUCGGGUCUAGCGGCGGACGGGUGAGUAACGCGUGGGAACGUGCCCUUCUCUACGGAAUAGCCCCGGGAAACUGGGAGUAAUACCGUAUACGCCCUUUGGGGGAAAGAUUUAUCGGAGAAGGAUCGGCCCGCGUUGGAUUAGGUAGUUGGUGGGGUAAUGGCCCACCAAGCCGACGAUCCAUAGCUGGUUUGAGAGGAUGAUCAGCCACACUGGGACUGAGACAGGGCCCAGACUCCUACGGGAGGCAGCAGUGGGGAAUCUUAGACAAUGGGGGCAACCCUGAUCUAGCCAUGCCGCGUGAGUGAUGAAGGCCUUAGGGUUGUAAAGCUCUUUCAGCUGGGAAGAUAAUGACGGUACCAGCAGAAGAAGCCCCGGCUAACUCCGUG